rfam:Salmo salar isolate Sally breed double haploid chromosome ssa03, whole genome shotgun sequence.
CUGGAAAUGUACUGUAAGUCGCUCUGGAUAAGAGCCUCUGCUAAAUGACUCAAA